rnacentral:lncRNA from 1 species
CAAGAAUAUGAACUUGGAUUAAAAUAACAUUUAUUCAGAUAAAAGCAACUAACUUUUAUGAAGCGACUAGCAAAAUAAAAAAAAAAUUAAAAAGGUGGUGUAUCAAUUUUCACUCAAUGCCUAGUAAAUUUGACAAAUAAAUAGUAUUUUAUUUAUAAAUACUCCAAUAAUCUUUAUUUCCAACUUUUAAAAUGUUUAAAAGACCAACCUAUGAGCAAUAGAACAUUCUCUUUCACUGGGUCCGUCUUUUAAAAUGUUUCGUUUAACCUCCCCAAUUCCCAUUGUUUACCUUUAAAUUCAUAGUUUAGAGUUUUGAUUGCUUGAUCAACAUUAAUUUUAACUUCUAGACUACAAAUGUGAUAUUGAAAAUGGCACAUAUUGAAGCUUAAUUGGUCAGACUUUUGCACACAGCUCUCAAAGCAUCAUUAUUGUCUUGAGCAUUGAGCAUCACUUCAUCAGAGGAUGAAUGGACAGAGGACACACUGUGAAUGAGUGUGCAAGUAUUCUGGGAAAAUGUUUGCUUGUAUUUUUAGUUUUCUAGUUUGUUCUCAGAGACUGCAAUCCCUGACGUAGAGAGAAGUCUUGACGUCCACCCAUCCCAAUACGUAAGACAGACUUCUCUCUCGCUCUUCUCUCUCACACACACACACACACACACGCACACACACUUGUAAAACAGGGGUUUAGGGGUUGGACCACAGGGAGGGGUGUGUCUCUAUAAGACGACCGAGCAACAGCAUCCUCUUAGGAAACAAACAGAAGCAGGAGAUAGGAGAAAAGAACCGUCUUCAGUUUCAGCAGAUCUGCUCAGGACAGGUGCCUGAACCACACACAGCUCAGAAAAAGGAAAAGAAACUGACAGUGGAGGGUGGAUUCAAAUAUGAAAACAGGACGCAUUUAAGUGUAAGAGUUAAAUUAACACUUAAGCUGUGUUUUUACACCGAUGAGUUAAUGCUACUUAGAGGAGACUGUGUGUCUCUGUUAGAUUCUGCAUUAAAACGCAAAACUGCCUAAAGCCUAUUAAAGGGGUCAUGAACUGAGAAAUCAAAAACCCUUGUUCUUUUGACAUAUAAAUGGUCAUUGUACUAUAUAAAAUAACAUUUCUUUACCUGCCCCAACUGAGCCAUGGAUAACCCAUGGGUUCCGCUGGUUAUGAUACAACCCGCGCAUCGGGGACAUCACGCAAGUUACAUUCCUACGUUGGCCUUCAUAUUGUAACCUUAUCAAAGAACUUAAUAAAAUAUGAAAACAGUAGGGUUGCAUGAUUAAUUGCAUGUGAUUGUCAUGCGUGUCUCGUCAUGGCUGAACAAUUAAUCACAUGUGAUUGUCAUGCAUGUCUCGUCAGUAAAGUAAAGUUCUGUGAUUAGUACUAAGUAUCCAUCACCUGCUUUUAAAUGGAGUGGCACUAAAUAAACAGUUUAGUUGUAGUUUGCUGCGUUCAUAACCGAAUGUGAUUCAUCUGCCAUUAUGACGCAGUAUUGCGUAGCUUGUCAGCGAACUACGGUUCUAUUUACUGAUGAGACACGCAUGACAAUCACAUGCGAUUAAUAGUGCAGCCAUAAAAAAUAGUUAUUCCAAAUAUUUCAUAUAGGCUAUAGGGAAUUGCACAGAACAUACAUG